rnacentral:sRNA from 13 species
GGGCCCCUUUGCUUUCCUUCCAUAUGCCCAAAAGCCAAAGGUUAAAGAAAAAAUAAAUUUAAAAAGCCAAUGUACCCCUUUCCUUUUUUUUUUCACAUGGGCAUGGGUCCUCGGACUAAAGUUUUGUUUGUCCCCUCAUUUUUCUAAGAAAUUUAUGCUGUGCAUCUUGCACUUACACACUAUGUCACUAAGCAAGGCAGAUUCUGCUAUAGAGAUAUUGAGUGGAUUAGUAUUUAGUAUUUGAUUAUAUACUGCCAUAAAUGUGCUACAACAGGCAGAAUUAUGAAACGAAAAGGACUUGGCUUGAAAAGCACAAACAAGAAGGUUGCAGCAUUAAUUUUGCUGGUAUCAUUUUUAUCAAACAUAUUAGUUUAAAUUUGUUUGACCUUUUUUUUAAAUAUAUUUUUCUUUCUACUUUUCCUAAGCCUAGUGGUAUGAUGGAACCUGAAUCAGCUAAAGUAAUAGGGAGCAGAUCUUUAGGCCUCCAUAACUUUAGAUGCACUAAAAUGGUAGGAGACGGUAACUCCAAGACAUUUCAAAUGCUGAAUUCUUUGAAACCAUCAGUGCUCAUUAUCAAGCAAGAAAGUGUGAGCCAUGGGUCCAAAUGAUUGUGUACAGCUCUGAGAAAUGUUGUAAAAGAUUGCUCUAAAUUAGUUAGAAAAAAUGGAAGUCUCCAUGC